ACAAAGUUCACGGCCCCACCACAAUUUCAACACUUACUCUUUUAUUUCAUUUCAACCUUCUCUCUCCUUCUUCCAUCCUUUUUUUUUCGUCAAUUUCACACACACACAACUUCCACUCUUUCUUCCACUUUUGACUUUUCAAACACUCAUCUCUCACUCUCAUCUCUUCUUUUCACGUAAACCAACACCUCUUCCAUUUUAUUCAACUUUUCAACCCCAAACUCCACAU
rnacentral:lncRNA from 1 species